rnacentral:rRNA from 1 species
AGUUUGAUCCUGGCUCAGGAUGAACGCUAGCUACAGGCUUAACACAUGCAAGUCGAGGGGAAACGACAUCGAAAGCUUGCUUUUGAUGGGCGUCGACCGGCGCACGGGUGAGUAACGCGUAUCCAACCUGCCCAUCACUUGGGGAUAACCUUGCGAAAGUAAGACUAAUACCCAAUGACGUCUCUAGAAGACAUCUGAAAGAGAUUAAAGAUUUAUCGGUGAUGGAUGGGGAUGCGUCUGAUUAGCUUGUUGGCGGGGUAACGGCCCACCAAGGCGACGAUCAGUAGGGGUUCUGAGAGGAAGGUCCCCCACAUUGGAACUGAGACACGGUCCAAACUCCUACGGGAGGCAGCAGUGAGGAAUAUUGGUCAAUGGGCGAGAGCCUGAACCAGCCAAGUAGCGUGCAGGAUGACGGCCCUAUGGGUUGUAAACUGCUUUUAUAAGGGAAUAAAGUGAGUCUCGUGAGGCUUUUUGCAUGUACCUUAUGAAUAAGGACCGGCUAAUUCCGUGCCAGCAGCCGCGGUAAUACGGAAGGUCCGGGCGUUAUCCGGAUUUAUUGGGUUUAAAGGGAGCGUAGGCCGGAGAUUAAGCGUGUUGUGAAAUGUAGACGCUCAACGUCUGCACUGCAGCGCGAACUGGUUUCCUUGAGUACGCACAAAGUGGGCGGAAUUCGUGGUGUAGCGGUGAAAUGCUUAGAUAUCACGAAGAACUCCGAUUGCGAAGGCAGCUCACUGGAGCGCAACUGACGCUGAAGCUCGAAAGUGCGGGUAUCGAACAGGAUUAGAUACCCUGGUAGUCCGCACGGUAAACGAUGGAUGCCCGCUGUUGGUCUGAAUAGGUCAGCGGCCAAGCGAAAGCAUUAAGCAUCCCACCUGGGGAGUACGCCGGCAACGGUGAAACUCAAAUGAAUUGACGG